rnacentral:lncRNA from 1 species
GUAAAUCAUGAUGAAGACAAGAGAGUUUCGCAACGGUGAGUAGAGCGAAAAGUCAUGUGGCGAUGUUCCACACAUCACACGCAGAUCGUGCUUCUGUAAAAGAAGAUAAAAUGAAGGGGUUAAUCGUGGAAAGUAACUAUGAAGCUAAUAACCUAUCCUGUUGCACAAAGGCUGACGCAUUUGGAUUUGGAAUGAGCGAGCCUUUCGGAGACUGCACAAAACACGAUGGAAUCGAAAAAGUGCAAUCCAAAAAUCUGGUCAGCUUAUAACCUUUGACAAUCAACCGAACAUGCUGCUGCCACUGAAC